UAAUUUCUGGCUGGUCUGUAGUGCAGAGCUUAAAUUGGGGAUAGUGCUCUUGACAAUGCAAGCAUCUGGAGUUCUUUUUAUCAAGUCAGAGAUUGAAGACUGCUUGUAGGAAGACAUAACUACUUAGCUGCAGGUUUACCCUCAGCUGUUUCCUCUAUCAUAUGCAGGAUGCUAAAGGAGCGCUUGGUCAGUCUUACAGCAGUCUGUCUGGUUAUCACACCUGCUCAUUGUGGGGGAGUUCUUUCAUGCUCAUAGAUGUACAAGUCAAAAUUCAAAGAGACUGGAUCAAGUGCUGGCAGGUUCUGUGUCCUUGUCUGAAGAGCCACACUGCCCCCCUCAAAGACUCAUCACCCAAGGAAACAUGCAGUACCUAAGUGCCUUCCAGCAAAGAUCAUCUGCUAGGACCAUCUGGAUGUCAUGAGUUCAAUGAAUUUCCUCUGUUAAAGCUGCUUGAAGUGCUGAGAUGGACUUCCUAGUGUGGAAUGCUGCGUGAAACCUGCUGUUGAGAUCUUGGAUCACAGUAUGGUUUUGAGUAACUUCUCUGAGCAGCCCAU